UUUCGGUAUGAAGUUCUUUAUGACUGAGUGGCGGACGGGUGAGUAACGCGUGGGUAACCUGCCUUGUACUGGGGGAUAACAGUUGGAAACGACUGCUAAUACCGCAUAAGCGCACAAUGUUGCAUGACAUGGUGUGAAAAACUCCGGUGGUAUAAGAUGGACCCGCGUCUGAUUAGCUAGUUGGUGAGAUAACAGCCCACCAAGGCGACGAUCAGUAGCCGACCUGAGAGGGUGAUCGGCCACAUUGGAACUGAGAGACGGUCCAAACUCC
rnacentral:rRNA from 1 species